rnacentral:rRNA from 1 species
AGUGAACGCUGGCGGCAGGCCUAAUACAUGCAAGUCGAACGACCGCACAGUAAGCGCUCGCCUUUACGGGUGGCGACGGGCGGAUGGGUGAGGAAUACAUCGGCAUCCUCUUUUACGUGGGGGACUUCGUGGGGAAAGUUAUGAUAAUACCGCAUACGACCUACGGGUGAAAUCAGGGGUGAAUCGGACCUUUGCUGACACUAUUAGACGAAGUCGGAUUAGCUAGUUGGCAUGGUAAAGGCCCACCAAGGCGACGAUCCGUAGCUGGUCUGAGAGGAUGAUCGGCCACACUGGAACUGAGACACGGUCCAGACUCCUACGGGAGGCAGCAGUAGGGAAUCUUACGCAAUGGGCGCAAGCCUGACGCAGCAAUGCCGCGUGAGUGAUGAAGGUCUUCGGAUUGUAAAACUCUGUUAUUAGGAAAGAAAAAAAGCGGAUGUAACUCCGCAUGUUCUGACGGUACCUAAACAGAAAGCACCGGCUAACUUCGUG